rnacentral:SRP_RNA from 1 species
GCCAGGUGUGGUGGUGGGCGCCUGUAAUCCCAGCUACUCGGGAGGCUGAGGCAGGAAAAUCGCUUGAACCCAGGAGGUAGAGGUUGCAGUGAGCCAAGAUCGUGCCACUGCAUUCCAGCCUGGGUGACAGAGCGAGACCCUGCCUUUA